GAUGAACGCUGGCGGCGUGCCUAAUACAUGCAAGUCGAGCGAACAGACGAGGAGCUUGCUCCUCUGACGUUAGCGGCGGACGGGUGCGUAACACGUGGAUAACCUACCUAUAGGACUGGGAUAACUUCGGGAAACCGGAGCUAAUACCGGAUAAUUUAUUGAACCGCAUGGUUCAAUAGUGAAAGACGGUUUUGCUGUCACUUAUAGAUGGAUCCGCGCCGCAUUCGCUAGUUGGUAAGGUAACGGCUUACCAAGGCAACGAUGCGUAGCCGACCUGAGAGGGUGAUCGGCCACACUGGAACUGAGACACGGUCCAGACUCCUACGGGAGGCAGCAGUAGGGAAUCUUCCGCAAGGGGCGAAAGCCUGACGGAGCAACGCCGCGUGAGUGAUGAAGGUCUUCGGAUCGUAAAACUCUGUUAUUAGGGAAGAACAAAUGUGUAAGUAACUAUGCACGUCUUGACGGUACCUAAUCAGAAAGCCACGGCUAACUACGUG
rnacentral:rRNA from 1 species